UAAGCUGUUAGCUAGAGCAAUUUCAGCAGUUGGGAGGUGAGCAUAUCAACCCACAAGGUUGUCUGAGAGGGACAACAACUUCUGCUGUUAGUUUACUUUUGGGUAUAAACGUGAACUUUGAGGAAAGAGUUAAAUUCAAUUAAAAACAAAUUCGUUGAGUGUCUACUAUGUGCAAAACAAUAUGUUGUGGCAAAAGGGGGACGCAAUGUGAAAGAUCUGUUGCCCUCGAGAAGAAACGACCCUGCAUAUCAGCAAGGUAUCUUUUCCUGAAGCCGGUCUUCAUUAACAGGCUUGGUCUUUCUCCCAGUGGAGAAAUCACUUGGGCCACUUCUGCAUCUAGAGUGUCAGACCCAAGCUAGGAAAAAGAAUCAUCUUUAAAAGUAUGUCAUCAGCACUCAAGACCUUUAAUGAGCCAGCGGAAUUGGUCUCCUGGUCCUCUCCUCACUCCACAGAGACUGAAAACGAACCAGACAGAGGACGAGAGUCCGCAUGCUGAACCACUUAAAUUCACAUGGCGGCUAAGAAGACAAGAGUUUCGGCAGGCAUAGAGGCUAAGAGAGUUAAGAGCAUCCUCCGUGCCUAGUACAGUCCCCAGCUGCAUCAUAAACAGAUGAAAUGAAAAAGUUUUUUCUCCCAAUCAAGCCAGCAGGAGAGCAAGGGUCUGUGGUACCUGGGGACAAUGCACCAUGCUUACACCCUCUCUAGCCACAUGUAUGCUACUGCGGAAUUGGCAAAGACAGAGUGCAACCCUUUUUAGUCAUCAACCUGGGGGAGAGAUCUCUUCUGCACAUAAAAGUAUCCCCACAGCAUUGUGAUCACACUGGAGAAAGUGGACGGGAUAAAGAGAAGGAAGGACGUUUUGUUGAGUGCCUUCUAUGUGCUGUUCGCUCUGCUGAGCUUCAAGUUUCUCAAAUAUAAAUGGGGGAGAGGCUGGGCGCGGUGGCUUACGCCUGUAAUUCCAGAACUUUUGGAGGCCAAGGCGAGCAGA
rnacentral:lncRNA from 1 species